rnacentral:tRNA from 6 species
GCGGCCGUGGCGGAACUGGCAGACGCGCUAGUUUCAGGUACUAGUGGGCUAACGCUCGUGGAGGUUCAAGUCCUCUCGGCCGCACCA